rnacentral:rRNA from 1 species
UACGUAGGUGGCAAGCGUUGUCCGGAAUUAUUGGGCGUAAAGCGCGCGCAGGCGGCCUUUUUAAGUCUGGUGUGAAAGCCCACGGCUCAACCGUGGAAGGUCAUUGGAAACUGAAAGGCUUGAGUACAGAAGAGGAAAGCGGAAUUCCACGUGUAGCGGUGAAAUGCGUAGAGAUGUGGAGGAACACCAGUGGCGAAGGCGGCUUCUGG